UUGUUUCUUUUUAGUAUUCUGCAACUUCAGUCCCAUCUGUACUACUUGCGAGACGGCAUUUAAGAUCUCUUUACCUCCAGUCAUGAAGGCAAAAAAGAAGAAAUUAAAAUCUAUGUUUUAGAGGCAGGACUUGUUUCUGCACAGACGACCAGCGAGGUUUACAUGGACUCCUCAGUGAUCAUAAAUAAUUACCACCAUAUCAUAAAUUUGGAGAGAAGCAUCAGACAGCUAACAAGCUUUCAUUCUGUUGCCAGAAGGACAACAUGGCAACUGAAACUCAACAAUCAGAGGAGCACAUGCAAGGUGUGAUAUUUCUGCACCACC